GCAAACUUGGUCAUUUAGAGGAAGUAAAAGUCGUAACAAGGUUUCCGUAGGUGAACCUUCGGAAGGAUCAUUAUAAAUGUGGUAGUGCUUCGAGCCUAAGUGCCCCCUUUGCCGGUCAGGCUUGGGGGAUUCUUCUACCAUCCUUGUUUUUGAGCACCUCUGUUUCCUCGGCAGGUUCGCCUGCCACGGGGACUUUUCAAACACCUUGCAGUAGCAGUUUUUGUCUGAAAUACAAGCAAACAAUCAAAACUUUCAACAACGGAUCUCUUGGUUCUGGCAUCGAUGAAGAACGCAGC
rnacentral:misc_RNA from 1 species